AUUGAACGCUGGCGGCAGGCCUAACACAUGCAAGUCGAGCGGAUGAAGGGAGCUUGCUCCUGGAUUCAGCGGCGGACGGGUGAGUAAUGCCUAGGAAUCUGCCUGGUAGUGGGGGAUAACGUCCGGAAACGGGCGCUAAUACCGCAUACGUCCUGAGGGAGAAAGUGGGGGAUCUUCGGACCUCACGCUAUCAGAUGAGCCUAGGUCGGAUUAGCUAGUUGGUGGGGUAAAGGCCUACCAAGGCGACGAUCCGUAACUGGUCUGAGAGGAUGAUCAGUCACACUGGAACUGAGACACGAUCCAGACUCCUACGGGAGGCAGCAGUGGGGAAUAUUGGACAAUGGGCGAAAGCCUGAUCCAGCCAUGCCGCGUGUGUGAAGAAGGUCUGCGGAUUGUAAAGCACUUUAAGUUGGGAGGAAGGGCAGUAAGUUAAUACCUGGCUGUUCUGACGUUACCAACAGAAUAAGCACCGGCUAACUUCGU
rnacentral:rRNA from 1 species